rnacentral:rRNA from 1 species
UACGGAGGAUGCAAGCGUUAUCCGGAAUGAUUGGGCGUAAAGCGUCCGCAGGUGGCUGUGUAAGUCUGCUGUCAAAGAGCAAAGCUCAACUUUGUAAAGGCAGUGGAAACUACACGGCUAGAGUGCGUUCGGGGCAGAGGGAAUUCCUGGUGUAGCGGUGAAAUGCGUAGAGAUCAGGAAGAACCCCGGUGGCGAAGGCGCUCUGCUAGGCCGCAACUGACACUGAGGGACGAAAGCUAGGGGAGCGAAUGGG